rnacentral:tRNA from 1 species
GGUUGAAUAGCAUAAUAUAGGCGAAUGCACUGAAUUGCAAAUUCAAGUAUGAGAGUUCAAGUCUCUCUUUAACCU